CCCCGCGCUGUCGCAGAGCUGUUGGGAGCCCUCCCGAAGCCCGGGGCCCCGAGGUCGCGCAGCAGGAGCUCCCCUCCCUCCUGUCGGGUCCGAGAGCCGGGGUCCCCCCCCCCCCAUUCGCUUCUCCUUGUCCGGGGCCGUCAGAGCCCGAGAUUGAGCCGGGCAGCAGCUUGCUGCCCAGGGCAGGGCAGGGACAGCUUGCGGGCUGCGGGCUCUCUGGGCCUCGGUUUUCCCCAUCGACACCCCCAUCAGCAAAGGGGUCCCGGGCCGCUGGGGCCCUACCUACGGCCCUUCCACGGCCGCCAAGCUGUCGACCUAAGUCUGGGGCUUGAUAAAGAGGUCUCGUCCUCCUCACCCGCUCCUGCGAGCUACUCCUCUGGCAGGGAGGCCCGGUGACUUCUGGAACCCUUGGUCCCCCGUCCUGAGAGGUCCGAAACUUCUCCCGUGAGUUCUCCCGGGUUUUCACCCCAGGCCGAAAACACGACUGCGGAGCCGGCUUCCCCGUCGGGGCCAAGGGCUCACUUACAGGCCUCUCCUAAAGGGCAAGUUCUACUCUUCAUCAGAGUUUAAGGAUGGAAGAGAUGCCUAAGAUACUGGUCCUUGGAGGCAGACACCUAGCUUUGAACCCCAGGUCUACUACAUCCCAGCUCGGUGACCUCAGAUGGGGAAACAUGAGGCCUCGAGAAUUUGAUCACCCACUUUUAAGAAGUUAGCCAGGAUGCAAAGUGAAGUCCUCUGAUGUCGUGGUAUGAACAAAGGAGUGGGGAUUCAGAAACCUGGUUUCGAGUCCUAAUAUCACCAUUUAUUGGCAAGACAACAGUCAUAUCACCCUUCUUCAUCUAUAAAAUACAAGGGUCUUCCUCACACUUCCCUAGACUUUAGAGAUACAACAAGGAAAUUGAUUCUCAUUCUUUUCUGCUGCUGAAGAGAAAGCAUAGAAAAUC